rnacentral:rRNA from 1 species
UACGUAGGGGGCGAGCGUUGUCCGGAUUUAUUGGGCGUAAAGAGCUCGUAGGCGGUUCGAUAAGUCGGACGUGAAAUCUCCACGCUCAACGUGGAGGGGCCGUUCGAUACUGUCGUGACUCGAGUCCGGUAGGGGAGUGUGGAAUUCCCGGUGUAGCGGUGAAAUGCGCAGAUAUCAGGAGGAACACCGAUGGCGAAGGCAGGUCUCUGGGCCGCAACUGACGCUGAGGAGCGAAAGCAUGGGGAGCGAACAGG